GUCCACGCCGUAAACUAUGGAUGCUAGCUGUUAUAGGUAUCGACCCCUGUAGUAGCGAAGCUAACGCGUUAAGCAUCCCGCCUGUGGAGUACGAGCGCAAGCUUAAAACAUAAAGGAAUUGACGGGGGACCCGCACAAGCGGUGGAGCGUGUUCUUUAAUUCGAAGGUAAGCGAAGAACCUUACCAAGGCUUGACAUCCUGCGAAGACAUCCGAAAGGAUAUUGUGCCCUCGGGAACGCAGUGACAGGUGUUGCAUGGCCGUCGU
rnacentral:rRNA from 1 species